AUUGAACGCUGGCGACAUGCCUUACACAUGCAAGUCGAACGGCAGCACGGGGCAACCCGGUGGCGAGUGGCGAACGGGUGAGUAAUGCAUCGGAACGUACCUUUCAGUGGGGGAUAACGUAGCGAAAGUUACGCUAAUACCGCAUAUUCUGUGAGCAGGAAAGCAGGGGAUCGCAAGACCUUGCGCUGAUUGAGCGGCCGAUGUCAGAUUAGCUAGUUGGUGAGGUAAAGGCUCACCAAGGCGACGAUCUGUAGCGGGUCUGAGAGGAUGAUCCGCCACACUGGAACUGAGACACGGUCCAGACUCCUACGGGAGGCAGCAGUGGGGAAUUUUGGACAAUGGGGGCAACCCUGAUCCAGCCAUGCCGCGUGAGUGAAGAAGGCCUUCGGGUUGUAAAGCUCUUUCGGCCGGGAAGAAAUCGCACGGGCUAAUACCCUGUGUGGAUGACGGUACCGGAAUAAGAAGCACCGGCUAACUACGUGCCAGCAGCCGCAGUAA
rnacentral:rRNA from 1 species